AUCCUGGCUCAGGAUGAACGCUAGCGGCGCGCUUAACGCAUGCAAGUCGAGCGAUGAGGCUCCCUUCGGGGAGUAAUCAGCGGCAGACGGGUGAGUAACACGUAGAUAGCCUGCCCUCAAGACGGGGACAACCGGUGGAAACAGCGGCUAAUACCCGAUAUGCUCACAGGAUCGGGAGGUCGAGUGAGGAAAGCGCCCCUUCGGGGGAGAGUGUUUGAGGAGGGAUCUGCGGCCCAUCAGCUAGUUGGUGAGGUAACGGCUCACCAAGGCGAAGACGGGUAGGGGGUGUGAGAGCAUGGCCCCCCACAAUGGGACUGAGACACGGCCCAUACUCCUACGGGAGGCAGCAGCGGGGAAUAUUGCGCAAUGGACGGAAGUCAGACGCAGCGACGCCGCGUGGGUGAGGAAGGCCUUCGGGUUGUAAAGCCCUUUUCAGGGGAGCGAGAAAGGACGGUACCCUUGGAAUAAGCGUCGGCUAACUACGUGCCAGCAGCCGCGGUAAGACGUAGGACGCAAGCGUUAUCCGGAUUUACUGGGCGUAAAGCGCCUGUAGGCGGUCAAGUAAGUCGGAUGUGAAAGCCCCGUGCUCAACGCGGGGAAGCCAUUCGAUACUGCGUGACUAGAGAACGGCAGAGGGAAACGGAAUUUCUGGUGUAGCGGUAAAAUGCGCAGAGAUCAGAAAGAACACCGAUGGCGAAGGCAGUUUCCUAGGCCGCAUCUGACGCUGAGAGGCGAAAGCUAGGGGAGCAAACAGGAUUAGAGACCCUGGUAGUCCUAGCUGUAAACGAUGGAUGCUAGGUGUGGGCCGGAAAGGUCCGUGCCGUAGUUAACGCGAUAAGCAUCCCGCCUGGGGAGUACGGCCGCAAGGCUAAAACUCAAACGAAUUGACGGGGACCCGCACAAGCAGCGGAGCGUGUGGUUUAAUUCGAUGCUACACGCAGAACCUUACCUGGGCUUGACAUGUAGGUGGUAGUGAAGUGAAAGCGGAGCGACCCUUCGGGGAGCCUACACAGGUGCUGCAUGGCUGUCGUCAGCUCGUGCCGUGAGGUGUCGGGUUAAGUCCCGUAACGAGCGCAACCCUUGUCCUUAGUUACAAGUGUCUAAGGAGACUGCCGGUGACAAACCGGAGGAAGGUGGGGAUGACGUCAAGUCAGCAUGGCCCUUAUGUCCAGGGCGACACACACGCUACAAUGGUCGGUACAAUGGGCAGCGCAGCCGCGAGGUGAAGCGAAUCCCAACAAAGCCGAUCCCAGUUCGGAUUGCAGGCUGCAACCCGCCUGCAUGAAGCCGGAGUUGCUAGUAACCGCGCGUCAGCCAUAGUGCGGUGAAUACGUUCCCGGGUCUUGUACACACCGCCCGUCACGUCAUGGGAGUUGGUAACGCCUGAAGCCGGUAGUCUGACCUAACGGAGGACGCCGUCGAAGGCGGGACUGGCGACUGGGACGAAGUCGUAACAAG
rnacentral:rRNA from 1 species